rnacentral:rRNA from 1 species
AUACGGAGGAUCCGAGCGUUAUCCGGAUUUAUUGGGUUUAAAGGGUGCGUAGGCGGCCUUUUAAGUCAGCGGUGAAAGUCUGUGGCUCAACCAUAGAAUUGCCGUUGAAACUGGGAGGCUUGAGUAUGUUUGAGGCAGGCGGAAUGCGUGGUGUAGCGGUGAAAUGCUUAGAUAUCAAGCAGAACCCCGAUUGCGAAGGCAGCCUGCCAAGCCAUGACUGACGCUGAUGCACGAAAGCGUGGGGAUCAAACAGGAUUAGAUACCCUGGUAGUCCACGCAGUAAACGAUGAUCACUAGCUGUUUGCGAUACAGUGUAAGCGGCACAGCGAAAGCGUUAAGUGAUCCACCUGGGGAGUACGCCGGCAACGGUGAAACUAAAAUGAAUUGGCGGG